AAUACAAUUGUUCAAAAUGUAAACGUAAAUGGAUGUCAGGAAAUAGUUGGGCAAAUAUGGGUCAAGAAUGUAUUAAGUGUCACAUAAAUGUUUACCCUCACAAACAGGUUAGUCUAGGACCAUCAACAUCGUUAUCAACAUCCUCGUUACAUUCGUUCAACUCCUCCCUGCGUUACAGACCACUUGAAAAGCCAGAUGGCCUGGAUGUAUGAGACCAAAGUAAAAUUCAUCCUCAACAUCUUUGUGAAAAAUG